UUCAUCCAUUUCUCUAUUCUUCUCAUUUGCCAUCCAUUCUUCAUAAUUUUGAUGCCCUAUUUUUAUUUUCUCCUUAUAAUUAGUGAUUCAUAACUUUAAAUAAAAUAGUACUAAGUGGUUUAAUUCAACACUGUUACUAUAAGAUGCUUAGGUAGUAUCAUCGUGGUGUGCUAGUGUUGAAGAAGGGAAACAAUAAUAGGAAAAAAGAGGUACAAUUGAAGUGUCGUUUAGCUUGAAGUAGGUAGGUACAAUUGAGAGUGCUAGUAAAUGUUAAUAUUGAAGCAUAUCAUUGUUAAGAUUAAAGCAUGCCUUAAGAUUUUCUUAGAAAUUAGUGUGGAAUUGGGUUUUUAUCAAAAAUUAGAUUGGGCUUUUUUCUCUGUAUGUGUAAAUUGACUUUUGAUUAUUGACUCAAGUAAAGUAUUUUUAAAAGUAGGUUUUAAAUGGUAUUACGAAUAGUGAAGAAGUCAUGUUAAAAAUAAUGAAGAGAAAAAUAGCGACAAGAACAACUAAUAUGAAAAUGGGAGGUGACAAUGAACUUUGUUUUCCUAAAGAAGUUUUCUAGUGUGUCUAUAUUAUAUACACGUGUAUAACAAGUUUGGAAUUGAGAUCAUUGCUUGUUUAUGAUAAUUGAACAAAUUUUGAAGUUCAAUUUGAAUUAUUGAUUUAACAAUCCCAAAUUUACCUAAAAAGUAGGAUCGCAAUUCGUAUUUGUGUUAGCAUUUGUUCAUUGUUUAGAAUAUUUUAUUAUAUGUUAGCAUUAUCCAUUAGAUUGUCAUGUUGUUAUAUUGAACUCCAUCAUCCAAAGAUGGAGGAUUUCCAAAAAAUCAUUGGAAUAUUAGUGGUGAUUUAUGCAGUGGAGCAGCCAUUAAUUCAACUUUCAUCCUAGAUUUUAACCUCGCCAUCAAAUGUAAUUGUUCUGCCAACAGCCGAACUCUUUGUCAUAUCACUGGCUUGUAAGUCAUCCCUUUUCCCUACACAAUGUUUGAUAUCUAUUAUAUAUAGGCAAAAAAUAGUUUUGACCUCAUGCAGUAUAUACAAUGUAUUUGUCUGAUGAAAGGGAUUCAAAUGAAGCCCCUAUAUUUCCUAGCUCAACUUCUGUUCAAUCACACUCUUAUUCUUACCCUAUGCAUUUUAUCAUCCCUUAGUUUUUUUUACUACAUUGUUCAAUUUAAUGAUAUUUUUCCUAAGAGAUCAAUCCAAACUUUAGAGGUCAUAGAUGCUCUUUUAAUAUAUACUAUAUAGCUGGAUAGAGAUUCUUUAAGUGCUUCUUAGAUUUUCUUUAAACAUUUACGUAGUCCUUGAUGCAGAAACACUUAAUUACUAAUUACUAGUAUUGACCAUGUUAAUUUUUUUUCUUGAUACUACUUCUUCUUCUUAUUUUUCUAUGCAGUUGGAUGUAGUUUGGGAUAUUUACUUAAUGUGUAACUUUGAUUUCUCUUUCUAACUCUUCUUGAUGAAGAGUUUAUGCCAUGGACGUCGAGGGUGGAAUUCCAGAUGAAUUAUGGGGUCUUACCUUCCUUGAUGAUCUGUACUUGCUUCCUCUAACUGUAGUUUCAUCCUAUACUUUUGUGUUUUAUCUCCAGCUACUGAUAUUUUAGUUAUAAAUUAUAGAAAUUUGGCCCUAAGUUACUUGACAGGCAUACUACCCCCAUCCAUUGGCAAUCUUACUAGGAUAAAAUGGUUGUAAGUCUAAUCUAUUUCAGUUAUUUAUGCACAAUCGUGAUAGCUUGGUACCGACAUAACUGGAAUAAUUUAGAUAUUUAGUGUAUGCAGAUUCUUUAGCACUAAUAAUUUAUCAGGGGAGAUUCCAAAGGAACUUGGAUUGUUGACUGAGUUACAAUCAACUUGGUUUCACGAUAUAUCAUGUAUCAAUUUUGUAUGAAAAAUGUCAAUAUUCAUCAUUUCCUCUUCAUUUGUUUGUCAUUUUCUCGUGUUGUAAAAGUUUUGGCACAAACAACUUCUCUAGGCCUAUGGCUCCAGAGCUUAGAGACUUAACAAAACUGACACAAAUGUGAGUUAUUAUGCAUUGAUUUACAUCUUACAAAACCAUUACCACGUCAUUUUAAUUGUUAGAUUUUUCCAGUUUGCAUGAGAAAUUUAUUAUCUGUUUAUGAACAUGAUACAAAAUCUAUAUGGUGUUGUGUUUUUUUAAUUUAUACAUCAAAUGCAAGGCCCUGAAUAUUAUAUUAGUUGAGUAGGAGGUUGUUAACGUCUCUGCGAUCUAAUGUAAUCUAUGUUAUGCUUGCUUUAUUUUCAUGCUAGCGAAAGAGUAUAGUUAAUUAAUCCCUUCUCUAGUUUUCUGUAUAAAGUAAUCAUUCCUUACUGAAAAGUAUGAUAAACUAUGUUAAGUUGUAAAUAUUUGUCAGAUGAAUUCACAAAAAAUGCAAAAUACAACAAAGUCAAGACAUAUAACUCUCAUUUUAAGCACCUUAGUAUCGAUCUUCCUUGUCCCUUUUUCAUUUCAUUUGUCCUUCCAUUCUACAUACUUGAAGCUUUCAAAUUCUAAUUUGAACAUGCAACAUACAGAAAUAGAAAGUGAAGAAAAAUAGUACUCUCUCUGUUUCAUUUAUGUUGGCCUUUAUACCAAAAAUAGUGUUUUAUUACUUACUUCCCAUGCUAUUUAUAGUAUUAAACAAAUACAUAACUUUAGAGUUACAAAGCAUCAUUAAUAAGGUUAUUUAAGUAAAAUACACCUCUAAUUCCCUAUAGAUUAUGUGAAAGAAAGACACUUUCUAGGGAGGUGGCUUAUGCUGUUGAAAGCCUGGCUCAUUAAAAAGUAUUCCAGAUCAAUAAGGGCAAGUAAAAAACAAUGAUAUACCCAAUGUAUUCCCACAAAGUAUGGUAUGGAAGGGUAGAGUAUACACAGUCCUUACCUCUACUCUAUAUGUGAGGUAGAGAGGUUGUUUCCGGUAGACCCUCAUCUCAAGACAAAAACAGUCUAAAAAACGACUUAAUUGAAGUAGAAGAGACAAUAGGUAGUUUAAAAAAUACCAGAUAGUAGCAGAGGAAUACUACAAUUAAACUGCAUGAAAUAACAUAUAACAUAACUUGAAAUAUUUAGCACACAUCUAGACAAGCAGAUGCCAAACAAUACAACAUAUACAAAAGCAUGAGAAUUUUCAUCAAUAUAGGAAAUAUAAGUUAUUUUUGAGGUUUAUAAGUUAUUUUUUCUCUUGGAUAGGCCUUUCUUUGAUUGUUGAAAUUUCAUAUGUUCAUAUGAUUUUUGCAAAGUAUGAAACUUUUUUGUUAUAAUGUAAUAUGUCACUUCUUUAUUGCUUAUAUUUAUUUAUUUUUAAUUAUUCUGUCAUUUUUUUUCUUUUUUUUGAAAUAAAAAACUAUUUUGCUGGGUAGUUAUAUCAAUAGUGCUGGCGUUAGUGCACCAAUACCAUUGAUGUUUCCAAAAUUGUGGAACAUGGAUACGGUGUAAGAGCUUUCUGUCACAUGCUCCUUCUCUGGCUUCUUAAUUUUUACUUGAACAAAUUUAUGUAGUAAAUCUCACUUGAAACUUAACUAUUCACGCUUUUAGGUGGGCUUCAGAUAAUGCUUUUACAUGGAGGAUUCUAGAUUUCAUUAAUAGUUAGUCAACUGUUACUGCAUUGUGAGACAACAACUAUUUGAACUAUGUCAAGUUUGUUAUUCUCUAAUUCUUUCAAGAAUAUUGUCAUACCUUUUCCCUACAACAUUGGUAUAAUGCAUUUGCUGUAUCUAUUCUCUAGCGUAGUCUGUCUCAGAUUUAUCUAUUGUCAUAGAAGGUUCAAAGGAAAUGCGUUUUUCUAUUGUUGCCAAUUGGCUUACUAAGGUAAGCUCCGAUUAACCCAUAAGCAGAUGCCAAACAAUACAACAUAAAUAAAUACAUGAGAGUUUUCAUCAAAUAUAGGAAAAUAGAAGUUACUUUUAAGGAAACAACUGCCAUCUUUAGCAAGAAACAUAUUCACCAGAAAUAUACUCUCUCCGACCAAAUUCAUGUGGCACUGGUUUAAGAAAGAAAAACUUUUGAAACUUGUGGUCUGAAUAAGUCAUAAAUGUUUGCAUUGCUAUAUAUGACAUUUCAUUAGGGUUAAAUUGGAAAGUGUAAGAGUAAAUUGUUUCUGAAUGUGGAAAAAGUAUCAUUCAUGUUGGAUGUCACAUAAAUAGGGACAGAGGGAGCGUAUGCCAAUUAGCAUUUCCAACCACUUUAUUUAUUACUAUUUUAAAUUUAUUUGUGAAGACUUUAUUAGUUUCAAGCCCAUUUCAGUUGGACACUCUCUUGCUUUCCUCAACAACAACAAUAACAUACCCAGUAUAUUUCCACAUAGCGGGGUCUGGGGAGGGUAAAAUGUACGCAGUCCAUACCACUACCCCGACAGGGAUAGAGAGGACUCUCUUACUUUCCUAGACUUAGAAAUUGUCUUUGUCUUCUUACUAUUUUUCCUUUGUAUGGCAGGUGGUCUGUUCCCUUGGAACGUUGCUGGAUGAGACAUUAUGACCUAAGAUCCUCACUCUCCUUCCAUGCAUUUUCAGAUGUGUUCGUCAUUCGCAUAUUGGAUGUGAUUGGUUCGGUUAUUGAGAAUAUGGUGCCCAUGUUAGGUGAAAUUACAUCUAUACAUUCUAAAUAAGGAGUUGGCAUGCUUUUCAUCUUGCUUGUCCAAGGACUUAGUAUCGAGCUGGUUCCAUAUGUUCCCCUCUUAGUAGUUCCACUUCUGAGGUGUAUGAGUGAUUCAGAUCAUUCUGUCAGACAGAGUGUGACACAUAGUUUUGAAACCCUCACGCCUCUACUUCCAUUAGCAUGUGAUGUUCUUCUUCUAUUGGUCUUAGUGAACACCUAUCAAGAAGUCAAGAAGAUGUUAAAUUUUUGGAGUAGCUAAUUGACAACUCUCGUAUUGACGAUUACAAACUCUCAACUGAACUAAAGAUGACAUUGAUAAGGUAAUGCCUUUUCUCCUUCAUCGGACUAAAUAUGAAGUCUUAUCGGAUCUGCCAGAAAAUUAUUUAGGAUAGAUACAGUGACCCGGGUCCUGUUCAGUUAAAACUCUAGGAACAAUUUUCUAGCUCACAUGAUCAGUGCGAGGGUCAAAUUUGAAUGGUAGGUGCCACAACUCAACGUGCUCUAUAUUGAAGUGAAUGAUGAAGAAUUUUUGAAUUUUUUUAUAUACGUUUAUAUACAUUUCAUUUUGUGUGGAACUUGAUACAAAUUUUUAUUAUCUUGUUUUCUAACUAGUAUGUAAAAGACAUUUUCUUGAAAUCAAAUCUAUGCACUUCAAUUAUUUA